CGAACGCUGGCGGCGUGCUUAACACAUGCAAGUCGAACGGAAAGGCCCUGCUUUUGUGGGGUGCUCGAGUGGCGAACGGGUGAGUAACACGUGAGUAACCUGCCCUUGACUUUGGGAUAACUUCAGGAAACUGGGGCUAAUACCGGAUAGGAGCUCCUGCUGCAUGGUGGGGGCUGGAAAGUUUCGGCGGUUGGGGAUGGACUCGCGGCUUAUCAGCUUGUUGGUGGGGUAGUGGCUUACCAAGGCUUUGACGGGUAGCCGGCCUGAGAGGGUGACCGGCCACAUUGGGACUGAGAUACGGCCCAGACUCCUACGGGAGGCAGCAGUGGGGAAUAUUGCACAAUGGGCGGAAGCCUGAUGCAGCAACGCCGCGUGCGGGAUGACGGCCUUCGGGUUGUAAACCGCUUUCGCCUGUGACGAAGCGUGAGUGACGGUAAUGGGGAAAGAAGCACCGGCUAACUACGU
rnacentral:rRNA from 1 species